CCUACGGGAGGCAGCAGUGAGGAAUAUUGGUCAAUGGGCGAGAGCCUGAACCAGCCAAGUCGCGUGAGGGAGUACUGCCCUAUGGGUUGUAAACCUCUUUUGUCGGGGAGCAAAAGCCGGACGUGUCCGGCUGUGAGAGUACCCGAAGAAAAAGCAUCGGCUAACUCCGUGCCAGCAGCCGCGGUAAUACGGAGGAUGCGAGCGUUAUCCGGAUUUAUUGGGGUUAAAGGGUGCGCAGGCGGAUUUUUAAGUCAGCGGUCAAAUCGUGGGGCUCAACCCCAUCCAGCCGUUGAAACUGGGGAUCUAGAGUGUGCGAGAGGUAUGCGGAAUGCGUGGUGUAGCGGUGAAAUGCAUAGAUAUCACGCAGAACCCCGAUUGCGAAGGCAGCAUACCGGUGCACAACUGACGCUCAGGCACGAAAGCGUGGGUAUCGAACAGGAUUAGAUACCCUUGUAGUU
rnacentral:rRNA from 1 species